GACGAACGCUGGCGGCGUGCUUAACACAUGCAAGUCGAACGGAAAGGCCCUGCUUUUGUUGGGUGCUCGAGUGGCGAACGGGUGAGUAACACGUGAGUAACCUGCCCUUGACUUUGGGAUAACUUCAGGAAACUGGGGCUAAUACUGGAUAGGAGCUCCGGUGGCAUGGUGGGGGUUGGAAAGUUUCGGCGGUUGGGGUUGGACUCGCGGCUUAUCAGCUUGGUGGUGGGGUAGUGGCUUACCAAGGCUUUGACGGGUAGCCGGCCUGAGAGGGUGACCGGCCACAUUGGGACUGAGAUACGACACAGACUCCUGCGGGAGGCAGCAGUGCGGAAUAUUGCACAAUGGGCGGAAGCCUGAUGCAGCAACGCCGCGUGCGGGAUGACGGCCUUCGGGUUGUAAACCGCAUUCGCCUGUGACGAAGCGUGAGUGACGGUAAUGGGUAAAGAAGCACCGGCUAACUACGUG
rnacentral:rRNA from 1 species